GGGCCUCUAGCUCAGUUGGUAGAGCUACGGACUUUUAAUCCGUUGGUCGUCGGUUCGAGCCCGACGGGGCCCACCG
rnacentral:tRNA from 1 species